rnacentral:rRNA from 1 species
CUACGGGGCGCUGCAGUAGGGAAUUUUCGGCAAUGGGGGAAACCCUGACCGAGCAACGCCGCGUGAAUGACGAAGUACUUCGGUAUGUAAAGUUCUUUUAUUAGGGAAGAAUGGCAGGUGGAAAAACCUGAUUGACGGUACCUAAUGAAUAAGCCCCGGCUAACUAUGUGCCAGCAGCCGCGGUAAUACAUAGGGGGCAAGCGUUAUCCGGAAUUAUUGGGCGUAAAGGGUGCGUAGGUGGUUAUUUAAGUCUUUGGUGUAAGUGCAGUGCUUAACGCUGUGAUGCUAAAGAAACUGGGUAACUUGAGUGUGGUAGAGGCAAGUGGAAUUCCAUGUGUAGCGGUAAUAUGCGUAAAUAUAUGGAGGAACACCAGUGGCGAAGGCGGCUUGCUGGGCCACAACUGACACUGAGGCACGAAAGCGUGGGGAGCAAACAGGAUUAGAUACCCCCGUAGUC